UACGAAGGGGGCUAGCGUUGCUCGGAAUCACUGGGCGUAAAGCGCACGUAGGCGGCUUGUUAAGUCAGGGGUGAAAUCCUGGAGCUCAACUCCAGAACUGCCUUUGAUACUGAUGAGCUUGAGUUCGGGAGAGGUGAGUGGAACUGCGAGUGUAGAGGUGAAAUUCGUAGAUAUUCGCAAGAACACCAGUGGCGAAGGCGGCUCACUGGCCCGAUACUGACGCUGAGGUGCGAAGGCGUGGGGAGCAAACAGG
rnacentral:rRNA from 1 species